rnacentral:siRNA from 1 species
GUCGCAGAGAUGGAGCUCGACA